rnacentral:lncRNA from 1 species
UCUUUACUAAUCACAACAACCCGACUGGGAAUCAUACUUUCUAUUUCACAGAGCAGGGCCAAUGGUGCAGGGGGUGAAAGCCCUCCCCAAGGACUCCGUCACAUCACCACUCCAGGGGCAAAAGCUCCUGUUUACCUCAGACAACUCCUCACCAGGUGGAGCGGCUCUGCCCUUGCGGCAGACGCUGGACCAGCUCUCCUGAAGUUCCCUGAAGAGCUCAGCAAAACCAUCAGUUUCUACACUGAAGUCUAAGUAAAAG